rnacentral:lncRNA from 1 species
CAAAGUUUUUUUGUGAUGGCUGCUGUAUUUUACAUGUUUUACGCCAUAUAUAUAUACUAAGAUUGUGUCACGAACACAAGUCCAAACUUUGUCAUUUCAAAGAACGUAUAUUAAGACGCUGCUGUGUAUCUUGUUAAUGUUAUUGUGUUUGCUCUUUGUUGCCGGAACCUAUUUAUUUUCAAAUUUACGAAAGAUUUAUUUAUUUUUGCACCCUCUGUAGUACAGAAAAAGUUGCAAAGCAAAAUCCAGUGUUCCAUUUUCUUAAAUAUGAAAUGAAUUUUAAUUAUAUGUAUUAAGGUUAU